CGCUUAAUCGAUUGAAAAAGCAUCGAUUAUAGAUGUUUACUAUUGCGCGCUUCAAUUCAUGGAUUAAUUAAUCGAAUCUUUCAUAUUAGAAUAGUUGUAUGUAUUGAUUUAGCCAACACAUCUUUCAAUAUCUAACGACAAACUUUCAUAAUACAAGUAGUGUAUUAAUAUUAAAUUAUUAUUAAUUUCUCUUAUUAUAUGUAUACAGGAACAAACUACUGCUUCCUUCUAGCUCAAUUACCUUACUAGAUACAAUAACAGAAGAAUUAAUAGUUUCGUCGUUACACAUUGAACCAUCCCUAUAUGCAGAUGUGAAUUAAAAUAAUGUUAGUCAUCUAAAAAAACAAUUCUAAUGGAGAUGAUUAUCGAUCGUGCCUUGGUUGUUCCCGCAUGCUUAUAAACCGAUAACGGCGAUGUCGUUAUAUAUGAUUUAAGAUUAUAUAAAUUCGUGAAUAACGAUUUGAAGACUAACAUCGGUGGCUCGAUACAAUAUCAAAUUUUGUUUACCAUGAAAUAAACUAAUAACUUCAAGCUGUCAUUUAAGAAUAAAUACAUAUUCAACUAAAUCGAUCCUUCCGCUUGAUCCUUAUAAAUCGAUGUUAUGUGUAACUUAAUAUUAUGCAAUCGCGCCUUUUAAUAAAGAACAAUGUGGAAAAUUAUAAAUGCCCCACCCAAAGGACGCCACGAUAUUCACAUCAUCUAUAGUUACGUGCAUUAACCUUACCACUUUCGACGAAAAGCAGGAAUGCCGCGAAAAAUGUGUAGCUCCUAAUGCCGCCAAUGGCGCCCAUUUCGAAAGAUCUCUUUACCAAAGAUAAAGCACAAAACACUUUUGAUAACUGUAAUGUAAUGUUCUUAUAUGUUUUCUUGGAACCACUUGCUAAAACAAUUACAUCUGUACACACGUCUAAUUUCCGUUCGAAUUUAUAACCAUCUGAAUGAACGGAACAACGACGCGAAAGCGACUGACUAAGCUAGAGAGAGGACCAUGCAUAAAGUAAGAAGUAAGUAGUAUGACGUAGCCGAUCCGCUCCGACUCGAACCGAAAAUGGUCGAAGUGAGUAGAUCGCACGAUGUGAUCUAUAAUCGAUUUGUGAAUCUUAAUAUCUUUUUAUAUCCAAUGUUUAAAACAUGUUAAAAAUGUUACUGAGGAUAAUUCGGUAUUGUAUAUUAGUGUUUAUUAUAUUUCUAUUGUUUUGUCUUUACAUAAAUAAUAUAUCAUUCUAAAAUUUAUAUACGUACGCAUUCACAGUAAGAGGUACUAUAGAAUAGUAUACUGUACUGUAAUUUUAAAUUAAAUUAAAUUUCAUACAAUUCGAUUUAAUCGUAUAAGUAUCAUUAGACUGAGAUGUUUUCACGAAAUUAUUUUACAUUAUUUUAUGUAAUACAAACAUAACAUCUUUAAAUUUUCUGUUUGAAAAAAUAAAAAGAAAAUAAAUAUAUCUUCACUUUUCUUCAACAACAUGAUAAAUUAUUUAUUAUUUUUCCUUGCGGCUACUAAUUAAAUAAUUUACGUAAUUUCCGUAAUUACGUAAUAAAUAUAACUUAUAUAUAUUUUUUAUGUUUAAAGUAUUUGUCUAAAAGAAUUUAUAAAGCUACAACAGAUCGCUAAAGCAUUAAUUUUCUACGGCAUCAUGCUUUACGGGCUAAUUUAGAAUUCUGUUUG